rnacentral:rRNA from 1 species
UACAGAGGUCUCAAGCGUUGUUCGGAUUCAUUGGGCGUAAAGGGUGCGUAGGUGGCGUGGUAAGUCGGGUGUGAAAUUUCGGAGCUUAACUCCGAAACUGCAUUCGAUACUGCUGUGCUUGAGGACUGGAGAGGAGACUGGAAUUUACGGUGUAGCAGUGAAAUGCGUAGAGAUCGUAAGGAAGACCAGUGGCGAAGGCAGGUCUCUGGACAGUUCCUGACGCUGAGGCACGAAGGUCAGGGGAGCAAACGGG